AACGAACGUUGGCGGCGUGGAUUAGGCAUGCAAGUCGUACGAGAAAGUCACCUUCGGGUGGCGAGUACAGUGGCGAACGGGUGAGUAACGCGUGGGGAAUCUGCCCUUUAGUUGGGGAUAACAGUCCUAACGGACUGCUAAUACCGAAUGUGGACACGAUGUCGCAUGGCAUUGUGUUUGAAGAUGGCCUCUUCUUGAAAGCUAUCGCUAAAGGAUGAUCCCGCGUCCCAUUAGCUUGUUGGUGGGGUAAUGGCCUACCAAGGCUUCGAUGGGUAGCUGGUCUGAGAGGAUGGUCAGCCACACUGGGACUGAGAUACGGCCCAG
rnacentral:rRNA from 1 species